GUGGACGGAGGUAGUAUCAAAACUUUUCCAAUUAUCUCUAUCUCACUACCUUGUCUCUCUCUCUAAAAAACUAAGGUCUCACUGAGUUGUCAAUUUCACCCGAUUGAAGUACUUCUCCGGUGUAGCUCCGGCCUCAUCUCCCUUAGACAACCAUACCGUCUCCGAGAUCUGUACGUAGACGUUUUCGUAGCCGAUUGAAACUAAAACAGAGUGAAAGGGAACCAAAUCAGGUUGUAGAACAGAGAGGGACAGAUAUCUAGUUCAAGGGGUUUGGAUAAGAUGGACAGAAAAGGGAGAUGAAUCCACAACCUAGGAAGCAUACACUUUGGCAAGCAACAUCUGAUUUUACUAGUGGACAGGCCAGCAUACACAAGAAUAUAAAAAUGGGAAAAAAGAGCCCACUUUUCUUGAGGUCUAAGAAGAGACGCAUAGGAAGAAAAAGAAGUACGGUAUAAGAGGAGAUUGGAUCGAAACGCGUGCUAAGGAUGCAUAUGAUAGAGCUCAAAAAUUGGUUGUUGCAUUGGGAGCUGGUGCGUUUACUAUUUUAGUGGUUGUUGCAUGGGGAGUUGGUGCGUUUCGUAGAGUAUCAAGAUCAGUAGAUGCUUGGAAAGUGUGGCUUUCAUUAAAGCAGUCUCUUUAUAUGCCAAGGAGAUAUGUUGCUCUCUGACUAGCUAUUUUUCGUGUCUAACCUUAAGUACAUGUUAACUUAGUUAUAUUUGUAGAGAAGUUCUACCUUUACAUUGUGGACGAGCAUGCAAAACUCUUGAGAUAUUUUCAAAUCCAAAAUUUUAUCCAGAUUCAUGACUUGACAAUUUGAGUCAGCUAACAUAACCGGAGUUAAAUAUGGCCUAAGAUGAGCUUAAUUGGAGCAACUUAGUCUGUGAAAAUGAUAUAGCCAACCCCAGUUUGUUUGGGAUUGAAACAUAGUUGUUAUUACUUUUGGCUUAUGGAAAUGAGUUGGAAGUGAGAGACAAGGGUGUUUGGUGGAGUGGAAAGGCUUAAAAACCAAUAGCUAUGGCUUUCAACUUUGUUAGACAAGAUUGUGUAUCGAUAAUUUUAACUAUUUGACAUCAAUUAUUAAAAACAUUUGGUUGACUUGUCGCGAUCAAAGACAUGCUCUUAUCUUCGGCAUCAUUUUGAGAUUUUUUGAACAAUACAACUACGCCUCAACCAAGCUAGAUUAGUUUCACUUAUUUUAAAUGAUUCGAGGAUAUUUGGGAUAUUGUUGAAGUUUGAUUUGCUACCUAUUUGGGAUUUUUUUCAAUGAAAAUGUGGAUUGGAGUGCAAAUAUUUAUGGAAGUAGGGGUAAGAGUAUGGAAAUGCAUAUGUGUUCCAUCUGUAUAUAGGUUUGAUAUUCUAGUAGCUUCUUGUUUAAAUUAUGUAUUUAACCCUAUCUAACAUCUCAUUUUUUGUGCAUAGUAUAACACAUGAUAGUAGAUGCAUUAUUUUUUACCUAAUUUUUAGAGCCUAGGUGCUUUGGCGUGAUCCUUAUUUGUGAAAUAUUUAUUGUAAUUUUGACAGAUAUGUGUCGGUCAUAGUUUUUCUCUUGGCUGAUUAUUUAAGUAUAAUAAAUAUUAUCUGCUUAUUAGAGUUAUUUUGAAUUUAUGAUGUAUAUCAAUAAGACAACUAAGGUUACUAUCGUAGGGACUUGAAUCAAUAUUUAUCAAUAAUCGAGUGAUUAAAAGUACUAUUAACCCCAACAGGAUGUUUUAAGAAAUGAAAAGUUUGGAAUUCAAAGAAUGUUGGGUUUUACUUGCAAAGUGGAGUUUGUAUAGUCUCGUCUGUUGAUACAUAUUGUUUGGCAUAAUAGGAGUUAUAUACAGUUGAUCAUUUCCCUUGUGCUGCUGCUUGUUGAAUUCCGUUUGAAUUUAUGUACGUUCUACUUUUAGAUCCUUUUGAAAUACAGAGUAUAGCUAGUAUGUUUGGUUCUUAUAUAUCCUUCUUUGGGCAUGAUUUGUUGAAAUGAAGACGUAAUCAUCUAUUAAGUAAGGCAUCCUUUACCUGCUAGAGAAGACAUUGCUUACAUACAUAACGAUGUAGCAUAGGUGCUUUGGCGUAACCCUUGUUUGUGAAAGGCCUAAUGGAGAAUUGGUUUCAGGAUCUCAUAUUAUGUGUGGUAUUGCUCUUUCUUUUUUGGACCAAGGGCAAGAUAAGGAUUUUUUCUUAGUCUUGUUAAAAGUAUAAGCAGAAGAGAGAAAUUUAAUUCCUAUACAAUGGGACUAGAUUAAAACAAACUUCAAGUUAAAAGCUAGGCACAUACUUAUUGGCUUGCUAUCAAAAGUUCGUGUAAGUAACAAGAGGCCUAUGUGGAUUCUACCUGAAAAUUGACAAAAGUUAGUUGACCAUUGGGAGACCGAUUUGAGGUUCAAGCAGAUGAGUGAGAUUGACAAGAAAGCUAGAGCUUCUAUUAAGGGUGGCUCUUUACAUACGAGUGGUGCUCAAGGUCAGGGAAAUGUAACGAGAAAAUUGGAAAAGGGACUUGGGAGCCCAAUAAUGCAGAGGCAUUCAAGGCUACACACACAAGGAAUAAGAAAAUCCUGGAGAUCCUGAUGUUUGGGUUGAGCCAUGAGCUCAACUAACCUAUAUAAGCCUCUAUUUCUAGUAGUAAUUACUUUAUUUUCUAAAUUUAUAUUCUAAUAUGUUUAUCAUUAAAUUCAGAAUCAAUAUCUGCAAUUCAUAGAGAAUUUUUGCCAAACUCUGCCAGAAGAUAGUAAGGACCUACCACUUAGCCAAAGCAGAAUGGAAGAAUAUGGUUAGACGCGGUUGGUGGCCCGAGUAGGUAUGCAUAUUCUUAUGUAUUUCCCCAACGAAUCUUUCAUCAAUUUCAUUCGAAAUUAGAAGGCCUCAGAAGUUUUCAAGAUGAUGAGUGAAGUGAAAUGACGCGAAGCUAAGGCCUUGCAGGCUAGGGAAAGGCAAAGGGAUAUACAGUAUGCAAGAAUGAAGGCCCAAUUCGAUGCAUUACUUACUUCGAGGGGAUUCCCCUUGUCCCGGUGAUUUAGUACGCCCUCUUCGACCUACAGAGUCUCUACCUAUUUCACAUGGAAUAUAUGGUCAAUACAGAGAUGUCACUGAGGAGCCCAACAGUGAUGAAGAUGAUGAGGUUUACUAUGUGGACAAUACACCGUUGCGUUGUUAAAGUUCAAUGUUGUGUUAGAUAAGCUAAACAAUAUACUUUAUGGUGGUUUAUUUGAAUUAUUAAGUGUUUUUCAAUGCAUUAAAACUUUAAAGUAGUUUGAACAAUAGUAUUGUUAAAUCACUUACGAUUUUUAUGUUUUGUUCGUUCAAUUUCAAGGUAUUAAAAUUUGAUUUUCAUU